GGGACCUGCUAAUUCAUUUAGUGUCCACUUGACACACGCCAGACCUCCUCAGUGGCCGUCUUGCUUGGAAGAAUGCAGCUUAUCAAGUUGUGGGAGAGGUGCAGGUAGCGGGAGCAUGUCCGCUACAACAGCCAAAGAACUGGUCAUCAAAGAUGGGGAGGAACUGAACAGGUGUCAGGUCGCCUAUCCCAGCUGACUUGGGGCGAAAGUAAGACUACACCUCGGACCGGGCGCCAGUCAGUCGACACGGGCAACAAUUCGCACUCACAGUCGCUGAGUGGGAACCGAACCCAUGCUGCCCGCACCAAAGUCAGGCGAGUGUACCAUUACACAGUCAGUGAGUCCAGGGGAAAUCAUUUUGUGGAAACCUUUGAAUGACGUGUGUCAAGCGAUGACUUUCCAGUUUUGUCCCAACGUAUGACUUCAGCAAUUUUCAUUUGACUUGGAAAUUUGUACCAGUUUGCAAUGAUACGUCUUAAUGUUUUCGCUAGAUCCUCAUUGAUGUUUUAGAAUACUCUGAACACACUGUGUACAGAAAGUCACAGGACACGGAAUACGAUACCAUGUUGUUACCAACCCCGGAAAUAACUUUUUCCCAUUUCAAUGGCAAUUGCUGCUACUACACGGAUUCAAUACAACAAGGACAUCGAGACCAAACAUCGAUGACCAAUCAUCUUUUAACAAAAGUUUAUAUGCAAACAGUUUUCAUCGUCAUUACAGAAAUAGAGAAAACGUGGCGGCGGUGUGGCAAUGUACGUCAACAAUAACCUCAACUUCAAAGUGGCAACUGCAAUUUCAAAUUGUAAUUCAUUAGGAUCAUCGCCAAAAUCACUGUUCCUCAUAGCUGUGGAUGAGCGACAAAUCAGAGAUUGUGCAUAAAGGAGAAAAAAAAAAAACAAAAAAGUAUAAAGACAUCAACAUGACAAUGGUUAAAACAAUGAGGAUGUAGCUAAAAAUAAAACUGUUACAAAUUUCCAAGUAAAAUGAAAAUUGCUAAAGUCACACGUUGGGACAAAACUGCAAAAAGUCAAUCACUUCUCACAUUACAGGCCUGUUUCACUAAAUAAAAAAUAAAAAACAAGCCUCAACGGACAGUGUGGAUCCAUUCAUAGAAAACCUCACAGACUGUAUAUGGAUUAAGAACUAACCACUUU